AGUGAACGCUGGCGGUAGGCCUAACACAUGCAAGUCGAACGGCAGCACAGUAAGAGCUUGCUCUUACGGGUGGCGAGUGGCGGACGGGUGAGGAAUACAUCGGAAUCUACUUUUUCGUGGGGGAUAACGUAGGGAAACUUACGCUAAUACCGCAUACGACCUACGGGUGAAAGCAGGGGAUCUUCGGACCUUGCGCGAUUGAAUGAGCCGAUGUCGGAUUAGCUAGUUGGCGGGGUAAAGGCCCACCAAGGCGACGAUCAGUAGCUGGUCUGAGAGGAUGAUCAGCCACACUGGAACUGAGACACGGUCCAGACUCCUACGGGAGGCAGCAGUGGGGAAUAUUGGACAAUGGGCGCAAGCCUUAUCCAGCCAUACCGCGUGGGUGAAGAAGGCCUUCGGGUUGUAAAGCCCUUUUGUUGGGAAAGAAAAGCAGCAGGUUAAUACCCCGCUGUUCUGACGGUACCCAAAGAAUAAGCACCGGCUAACCUCGU
rnacentral:rRNA from 1 species